rnacentral:sRNA from 1 species
ACGCGCAGCCAGGCCCCAGCCUGUUGGCCAAGGUGGGAUCAACCGCAGGAAGGAACCAGCUGCAGCUGGGCGUGGGUGCCUUUCCCGUGGAAAGCCGCUGGCAGGGAGUCUACAGCCCCUUCCGGGACUUUGUGGGUGCUGGUUGCCCCAGGGACCUGCAGGAGGCCCUGCUGGGCUUCGACGUGCAGAGCUCCAGGGAGCUGCGUAGGUCUCAGGAUUACCUGUGUUGUGAGAGGUGAGGCCGGCUGUGUGCGCAUGCACAGGUCAGGGUGGGCCGGGGAGGGCUUCCUGGGGGGAGGGGGCUGGGCCCAGGUGUGGGUGAGGGACGCUGUGCGUGGUGCCCAGGACCCACCCCGAGGACAGUGUGGGCGGUAUGGAAGACAUCCUGGAGGAGCUGCUGCAGCACCGGGAGCCCAAGGCCCUGCAGCCAUACCUCAGGAAGGCUCUGAGCAACUCACUGCACCCCCUGGGAAAGCUGCUCCGGACACUGAUGCUGACCUUCCAGGCUACCUACGCAGGUGUCGGGGCCAAUAAGCACCUGCAGGAGCUGGCCCAGGAGGAGGUGAAGCAGCAUGCCCAGGAACUCUGGGCUGCCUACAGGCUGAGCUUGGCCCUGGACUCGGAACACACCUGCAGUCCCAGGUUGGGCUGUGACCCCAUGAAACACUGCAAAUAGAAGCCUUAGAUACUAUAGUUCCUUCUGCUGCUGGAUUCUCAGGAUAACAUCCUGGAGCUCCAGCCUUCUAACUUCUGUGGUUUGAGAGGAUGAACCCUGCAGGCCAUGUCCACAGUUCUGAGAGGCCACCUGCUCUUGCCUUUGUUGACUGGUGGUGGAGCUCCAGUUCUGUGGGAAGUGGCAGCCACACCAUUUCUCUCUCAUUGACUCACAGGGGUCUGCUGCGAGUUGCCUUAGAGCACAAGGGCCAGGCCCUGGAGGAGGAUGAAGACACAGAGACAAGGUGACUGGCGCAGGUCUCCUUGGGGCCUGCCGAGUCCAGGGAGGCCUCAUGCGCCUGCUCCUAGGACCUCCCUUGGGAAAAGAGGUGCUUCUGGGGAAGUGCUGGGCAUUCACUCUAUUGACCAAGCAUUGUGCAUUGAUCGUUUGUGGAUUAGAAUGACCCAUGACCUCUGUUCUGUGAGGAACCAGGGAUGGGGCACUGCUACAAUGCAUUGAAUGCAUCUUUGUUCUAAAUGUAUGAUCCCAAUCUCAUCUUUCGCAUGCAGAAGGUGAGUAGCUUCCCGAGGCACCCUCCUCUCCCUGCACACAGAUGGGGAAACCGAGGGCUGGCAGGGAUGAGCCUGAGGUUAUACAGGAGUUAGGUGGGUCAUGAAAUCUGUCUCCCCCAGUCCCUGGAGCAAACCUUAUAAUUCGCCUUUAGAUUCCAGACCUGAAAGUGUUCCUGAUCAGAGAGGCAUUCCUGUCACUGCAUUGCAGGAGGCAAGGGAAAUGGAGUUAGACAUUAGGGAGAACUCCCCGCCCGGAGUCCUAGCACAGCAAACCAGGAGGUGGAACUGAAUCAGCCUGGAAUGGCUGCUGAGAGCUUGGCUGCAAGUUGCUGGUCCAUCUGGGGCCCUGGUUUUGCUUUCAGUCCAAUGGGGAUCCAACUCCUGCCCCACCUGCCAUCUUGGUUGUCAAAGUCAAAGGAGGGAAUGAAGUUAUGAAUUGAAUUGGGCAAAUGAUGAGUGAGAACAGGCUUGGAAAAGGUUUUCUGGGGAGGAGGAGGCUGGAGGCUGGGACACUGUUUGUUGUGGAACUAGGAGCUCUUUGAGAGGAGACUCCAAGUAGUAAUCCCAGACCCCACCUUGCUCAUCCCAACCUGUUCUGGUCUCUCCAUCAGGGACCUCCAGGUGCAUGGAUUGGUGUUGCCCCUCAUGCUGCCCAGCUUCUACUCAGAGCUCUUCACGCUCUACCUGCUGCUUCAUGAGCGGGAGGACAGCUUCUACAGCCAGGGCAUUGCCAACUUGAGCCUCUUUCCCGAUACCCAACUGCUUGAGUUCCUGGAUGUGCAGAAGCACUUGUGGCCCCUCAAGGACCUCACGCUGACGAGCAAUCAGAGGUACUCCCUGGUCAGGGACAAGUGUUUCCUGUCAGCCACCGAGUGCCUGCAGAAGAUCAUGACCACGGUGGACCCACGGGAGAAGCUGGAGGUGCUGGAGAGGACAUACGGGGAAAUUGAGGGCACAGUGUCACGGGUGCUGGGCCGGGAGUACAAGCUGCCCAUGGACGACCUGCUGCCGCUUCUCAUCUACGUGGUGUCACGCGCCCGAAUUCAGCACCUGGGAGCCGAGAUCCAUCUGAUCCGUGACAUGAUGGACCCCAACCACACAGGAGGCCUGUAUGACUUCUUGCUCACUGCCCUGGAGUCCUGUUACGAGCACAUCCAGAAAGAAGACAUGAGGCUGCACCGCUUACCUGGCCACUGGCACUCCAGAGAGCUCUGGUAGCUUGGCCUUUCCUGGACAGACUGCAGAGCUGAGCGGGGCACUGCCGGCCCGUCCCUCAUUACCCAAGGCAAGGGGCAGGACAGGCCCUUGGAAGCAGCUCUUGGAGGAGAUGAGCAUUUUGUUUUGCACAGGAAGAUGCUGCUGCUGCCCUGACUGGGAUGAGAGUGAGGGGUGAUGGGUGUGGCCCUGGACAUGGUGGUUUUCCCUUGGCCACUAGCCCAUCUCCAAUGACCCCUUAAUCUGCAGCAGCUCACAGGCUGAGGGUGAGGAGCCCCUGGCUUCUCUUAGCCUGAGCCUUUCUCCCAAGUUCCGGAGCCUCUCUGGGCCUCAGUGCUGCCAUCUGUACAAUGGUGGAGUGAGUACGCUGUAAAGGACCUUCCAUCCAUUUUGCUGAAUUCCAGGGUCCUUUUCGAAGACUGACUUUAGUCUGCUGGGCUGUACUGACCUCUGGCAGGCUCUAAGCCUCGCUGGGUAUGCAGUCAACAGAAUAGGCCUGGAGGUCCGUGAACUGCAGUCCAUGUACCCAUGACGUAAACGGCAGCACUGGAACAAGCUGGGGCGGGGGAUGGGUAAACCCUCACUGCCAGCAGGCCCCAAGUGGCUUGUAAAUCAUUCUCCUGUGACAUCUGUAGGCCUGCGUGGGGACAACAGGGGCACAUGACAUCUGCCUGGGCCCUGACCAAUAAACCCUCAGACCCAGGACCCUGCUGUAGUUGGGGAGCAGGAGUACCUUUGGGAGGGGAGGACUUUAUUUAAACUAGUGGUUCUAGGGUGGGACCAAGAGAGGCAGGAGCUGGGUCUUGGGGCAGCUUUAUUCCUGCUGGGCCUCAGUUUCUCUUCCCCACACAGUUUCUCUUCUGUCACAUUGUGCCAGGUGACAUGCACGGUCUCCCUCUGCCCUAGCAGGAGAUGCAUGAUGACAGGCAGUGUGAUGUGUUCUGAAAGGGUCCAGGGCAAAGCGUAAGGAGAGGGUGGAUUUGUGCAGGGUGCAGCUCUGGAGAAGAAGCUGGAUCACUCUUGGUCCCAUUCCCUAGGCCCUGAGCAAGUCAGGCUCCUGGCUCUGGGUGUGGCUCCCCCAAAUGAAGUACUGACUUCAGCCUGUGAGGGGAGGGUUGAGGGAGGCUCUGGAAAGCCCAGCCACACCUGAGUCCCCGGCAGUAGCCUUGGGGCAGAGGGCAGCUGCAGAAUCCCAGAGAUGAUGUGAGCAGUGGGCAGAGAGAGCCUUGGUGCCUCUGUUUGCCACCACCUCCCCAGGAAGGAGGGACAGCAUUUCUCUGGCUGGUUCUACUAAGUGUGCCAGCCCAAAUGCAGGGCACGGGCUCUGGUUCUGCCAAGAGCCUGCAACACUCCCAGGAAGGGGGUGGAACUGAGGAAGAGCGAGGAUAUGCAGGGUGCACAGGCACUCAUGCUUACCGGGACUGGGGCAGCUCACUAGGAUUCUAUCCUUUUCAAUCGGCAUCAGCUAGCUCUUGUCCCCUGACAAGUGAGGACAGCCUGACCCUGGCCUCAAAUGCAGCCAUCCCUGAGUUCAUGCGAUGCUGACGGGACCCCAGCACACUUCCCUGCCUCCUUUGAGAUCUGCGAGCCCUUGCUGCAGUUCAGAUUCAACAAGGCCCUCUGCCCACCCUCUCACUAGGCCUCACUCAACACCAGUGGAACUGGAGCCUCUGGCUGGGCACAGUGGCUCACUUUGGGAGGCUGAGACAGGAAGACUGCCAGAACCUGAGGGUUCAAGACCAGCCUAGGCAACAUAGUGAGACCCUGUCUCUACAAAUAUAAAAUAAAAUAAUUAGCUGGGUGUGUUGGUGUGUGCCUGUGGUCCCAGCUACUCGGGAGGCUGAGGUGGGAAGAUCCCUGAGCCUGGAAGGUUGAGGUUGCAGUGAGUGGAGAUUGCACCACUACACUCAAUCCUGGGUGACAAAAUGAAACCCUGCCUCAAAAAUAAAAAUAAAAAUAAAAAUAAAAUAAAUAAAUAAAAAAGAGCAUCUGGACAG